CAAUAGGAAUUGCUUGUUUAGUUUUGGGUUCCGACCGGGGAGUUGAGAGUGUAACACCGGAAGUGAAGGCUGUGUACUUGUAAUGUCGAAGCAAGGAGUUUAUUAAAAGGUCCCCUGGACAAGGGUAAAACAGACAUUGUCUACAGUGGAGUUUGUGCAGGGAAAGAGACAUUAAACAUGGUGGCAGCGGUGCUUCGAACGACACACCCGGUGCGUGAGUGAAGAAGAAGCGGAGCGGACCGUCCCGUUAAGCUAGGCUAAGCUAGUUAGCCGCGUGGGUGCUAACGGCUUGAAGCGGCAGGACAGACGCCGAAGACAGCAGCACGACAGAAAGUAUAAAAGAUGGAUGGAUUAAAACCACCUGCACAAUGGAGUAUGGACGCAGCAAACCUUCCGAAAGCAUGGAAAACAUGGAAAGAAGAGUUUACACUCUACACGGAACUAGCUCUGCCAGACACGGAGGAAAAGGCAAGAGUGAAGCUGUUUUACUAUCUCAUCGGGGAACGAGGAAGAGAGCUCUGUGGAACGCUCAUCGGAGCUGAGUCAAGAGUAACAGUGAGUGGUCUGAUGGCUAAAAUAGAUGAACACUGUAAUCCCAAAGUUAAUGAAACAGUUGAAAGAUACAGAUUUUUUGCACGCAAUCAGGCUCUGGGAUAAAAUAUUGAUAAAUAUGUUACAGACCUGAGAAUGCUAGCAAGUACCUGCAACUUUGGACAAUUAAGAGACUCAUUGAUCAGAGACAGGAUUGUCUGUGGGACAAGCAGCUCCAGUUGGAGAGAACGGCUGCUCAGAGAAGAGAAUCUCACAUUAGACAAAUGUCUGGAUAUAUGCAGAGCAAUGGAGAUUUCAAGAGAAUACAACAAAACCAUAACAGGACAGACAUUAGAAGAGUUACAUGUAAUAAGACAAAAAGAGAAGAAAAGUCAAGAGAGAGGGAUUUCCUGCAGAUAUUGUGGAAGAACACAUGAAAGAAUCAAAUCAAAAUGCCCAGCAUAUGGAAAAAACUGUAAAAAGUGUGGCAGAGAAAAUCAUUUUGCCAUAACAUGCAGGAGUAAAACCGUCAGGAAGGAAAACACUCCGAGAGAAAAAAGAAAAACGGUCCACACAGUGACAGAGCAAGAUUCAGACUCAGGUGAGGACAUACUGACAGUCACAGCCAUAACACAAACUGCUGAAGAAGUGAACCAGUUUGAUGAAGGAGUCGGGAAAAAGAAGGAACAGCUUUUUGCAGGCAUGAUGAUUGACAACAGCCUGGUACAGUUUCAGAUCGACUGUGGUGCAACAUGCAACGUCAUUCCCAUUAACCUGUUGAACCCGAACGUAAAAAUGGAGCACACGGAUAAGGUGCUAGUGAUGUACAACAAGUCAAAGUUGUGUCCAUUAGGAAAAUGUAAAGUCAAAAUGGUUAAUCCAAAAAACAAUAAAAAAUACAAAGUAGAGUUCCAAGUGGUAGGAGAGGACUGCAAAACACCUCUACUUGGAAGAUCAGCAAGUGAAGCAAUGAAGCUAAUACAAGUCAAAUAUGACAACAUCUACGCUUUGGACAGCUCAGUGACAAAAGCACCUGCAGAAGAAAAUACCUGGUUGUUGGAGGAGAUAAAAACAGAAUUUCAAGAUGUAUUUACAGGAGAUGGAUGCUUAAAAGGUGAAUAUGAGCUGGAAAUAGACCCAACAGUGCAGCCUGUUAAACUGCCGAAACGCAGAGUCCCGGUGUCAAUGAUGAAACCACUGAAGGAAGAACUGAAAAGUCUUGAAGACAGACGGAUCAUAACACCUGUGGAACACAGUACAGAAUGGAUCAGUGGUAUGGUGACUGUGCAGAAACCGAAUGGCAGACCCAGAAUCUGUAUUGACCCAAGACCGCUUAACAAAGCGUUAAAGCGAAGUCAUUUUCCACUACCGACAAUAGAUGACAUACUACCAGAUGUGUCAAAAGCUAAGGUCUUCACAGUAUGUGACGUGAAACAUGGAUUCUGGCAUGUAAAGCUCACGGAGGAGUCAAGUCAGCUCACAACAUUCGCAACACCAUUUGGUCGUUUUCGUUGGCUGAGGAUGCCGAUGGGGAUCAGCCCAGCUCCAGAGGUUUUUCAGCGCAGACUGAUGCAGGCAUUGGAGAACCUACCUGGCACAUACGUCAUCGCUGAUGAUAUUCUGAUCACAGGAAAAGGUGAUACAACUGAGGAAGCGGAGAAAGAUCAUGACAGAAACCUGAGACUUUUUCUAGAAAGAUGCAGAUAGAAAAACAUAAAACUGAAUGCGGAGAAACUCAAACUAAGGAGAAGAGAAGUUCCAUACAUUGGACAUCUGCUCACAGCCGAUGGUCUGAGAGCUGACCCGGAAAAGGUGAGAGCAAUCAAAGAGAUGCCAGCACCGACGGAUGUUAAAGGUGUGCAGAGACUGGUAGGAAUGAUCAACUAUUUGGCAAAAUUUUACAAACAUUUAUCAGAUGACUGUGAACCUCUGAGACAACUUACUCACAAAGACAGCCUGUGGGAAUGGUCAGAUGUGCAAGAAGAUGCAUUUAAAAGACUGAAAGAAAAAAUAACACAAGUCCCAGUUUUAAAAUAUUACAGCCCAGAAGAGGAGUUGACACUGCAGUGUGAUGCCAGUGAGACGGGGUUAGGUGCUGCUCUGACUCAAAAAGGCCGAGACAUGCUGCUAGCCGAUACCUUGAGUAGAGCCUACCUACAAGAAAGCAACAACAAAAGUCAGACAGAGUUGGAGACAGAAUGUGUCAACAUGGUAGAGUAUGUACCUGUCUCAACGGAGAGCAUGGAAAAAAUACGCACAGGAACAAAAACUGACCAUAAACUACAAAUUCUGAUAGAAACAAUACAAAAGGGAUGGCCAACUUGUAAAAAGGAGGUGCCGACAGAAAUAACCCAAUUCCAAUCUAUGCAGGACGAGCUGAGUACACAGGAUGGACUGGUCUUCAAAGGAGAAAGAGUGGUGAUUCCAGACGCGCUGCAGGCGGAAAUAACCCAGCGGAUCCACUCAACACAUAUCGGCACAGAGGGAUGCCUCAGAAGAGCCAGAGACUGCAUUUAUUGGCACGGUAUGAAUGACCACAUCAAAAAAUAUAUCGCAAAAUGUGAUAUAUGCAGAAAAGUGGACGCUAAACAACAAAAAGAGACACUAAGACCACAUGAGCUGACCGACAGACCAUGGACCAAAGUUGGGACAGACUUGUUCAACUUUGACGGUAGAGAGUACCUAAUUACAGUGGAUUACUAUUCCAAUUUCUGGGACAUUGAUCACCUACCAGAUACUAAGUCAAGUACUGUGAUUAGGAAACUGAAAGCUCAUUUCGCACGUCAGGGAAUACCAGAAGUUGUUUUUUCUGACAAUGGGCCAUAGUACAGCUCAACAGAGUUUGCCAGCUUUAGCCAGAAAUGGGACUUUAAACAUAAGACAUCAUCACCUGGUUACCCUCAGAGCAAUGGCAAGGCAGAGUCUGCAGUCAAAACAGCAAAAAGACUCAUGAGAAAAGCCAAACUGGCUGGACAGGAUCCAUAUUUGGCCUUAUUAGAUCACAGAAACACUCCAACACAAGGCUUGGACACAAGUCCAGCACAGAGACUUUUAAGCAGGAGAACAAGAACACUCAUUCCAAUGAGUGACAGUCUUUUACAACCAAAAGUAACAAAGAACAACCAAGGACUGACGAAGAACAGGGAGAGACAAUCUAAAUAUUACAACCGCACAGCAAGAGACAUGGACAAUUUGAACCCAGGAGACUCAGUCAGAGUUCAACCUUUCGAACCACAUGGCUUAUGGGACAAGGCGAGAGUGUGCAAAACACUUGGAGAUCGAUCCUAUGAGGAGGAGAUGGACAAUGGCGGAGGAACCGUCGACAUCUGAGAAGAGCUGUGGAGGUCGACUUAAAAAUACCAUCAACACCAGAACCUGUUAGGCUAGACUCAGGCCGAAGCCAAGGAGACCUACAAAAUACCACCACCAAGUCAGGACGUGUUGUUCACCAGCCAGGAUACCUGAAAGACUAUGUUUGCAGUUAAUAUGUUAUUAUUUGUUUAUAGAGACUUUCUUUGAAAAAAAAAAAAAAAGAGAAGGAGAAAGAAUGUUAUAUUAUUUGGAAUGAAGAAAGCCAUUAGAACAGAAUGUAUGGUUAUUAAAAAAGAAUGUAAUUUUAUUUGGGAGAAAAUAAUUUUAUUUUGGUAGAAAAUAACUUUAUUUUGAAGAACCUGAAAAAUGUGAAUAUUUAAGUUGGAUACUGUUAGAAUCUGAGUUAUUUAAUUUUUUAAAAGAAAAGGGAUGUAGCAAUAGGAAUUGCUUGUUUAGUUUUGGGUUCCGACCGGGGAGUUGAGAGUGUAACACCGGAAGUGAAGGCUGUGUACUUGUAAUGUCGAAGCAAGGAGUUUAUUAAAAGGUCCCCUGGACAAGGGUAAAAC